GCUGAGGUCUAUCCUGAUGGUCCCACAUGGUUGGAAACACCUCAAAGAGGAAUGUUGUGGUUCAGCUUUACUCACAGACUGCUUAUUAGAUCUAUGAGAAGGAACUACGAGACAGAC
rnacentral:snoRNA from 1 species